UAACUUCUUUUAUACAGGGAAUAACUCGAGCCAUGUGUACCCUUUUUGCAUGUACCUUAUGAAUAAGGAUCGGCUAACUCCGUGCCAGCAGCCGCGGUAAUACGGAGGAUCCGAGCGUUAUCCGGAUUUAUUGGGUUUAAAGGGAGCGUAGAUGGAUG
rnacentral:rRNA from 1 species